AAUAGUGUAUAAUCUAUUGUUCAUCAGCGUGCUUGGGCGAGGGUAGUACUUGGAUGGGUGACCUCCUGGGAAGUCCUCGUUUUGCACCUC
rnacentral:rRNA from 2 species